rnacentral:rRNA from 1 species
ACGGGAGGCAGCAGUGGGGAAUAUUGGGCAAUGGGGGAAACCCUGACCCAGCAACGCCGCGUGAGGGAAGAAGGUCUUCGGAUUGUAAACCUCUGUCCUUGGGGACGAAGCAGUGACGGUACCCAAGGAGGAAGCCCCGGCUAACUACGUGCCAGCAGCCGCGGUAAUACGUAGGGGGCAAGCGUUGUCCGGAAUCACUGGGCGUAAAGGGUGCGUAGGCGGUUAAUUAAGUCAGAUGUGAAAUCCCCGGGCUUAACUUGGGGGCUGCAUCUGAUACUGGUUGACUUGAGUGCAGGAGAGGAAAGCGGAAUUCCUAGUGUAGCGGUGAAAUGCUUAGAUAUUAGGAGGAACACCAGUGGCGAAGGCGGCUUUCUGGACUGCAACUGACGCUGAGGCACGAAAGCGUGGGGAGCAAACAGGAUUAGAUACCCUGGUA